AACGAACGCUGGCGGCAGGCUUAACGCAUGCAAGUCGAACGCAUCGCAAGAUGAGUGGCAGACGGGUGAGUAACGCGUGGGAACAUACCCUUUUCUACGGAAUAGCGCUGGGAAACUGGAAUUAAUACCGCAUACGCCCUACGGGGGCAAGAUUUAUCGGGGAAGGAUUGGCCCGCGUUGGAUUAGCUAGUUGGUGGGGUAAAGGCCUACCAAGGCGACGAUCGAUAGCUGGUCUGAGAGGAUGAUCAGCCACAUUGGGACUGAGACACGGCCCAAACUCCUACGGGAGGCAGCAGUGGGGAAUAUUGGACAAUGGGCGCAAGCCUGAUCCAGCCAUGCCGCGUGAGUGAUGAAGGCCGUAGGGUUGUAAAGCUCUUUCACCGAUGAAGAUAAUGACGGUAGUCGGAGAAGAAGCCCCGGCUAACUUCGUGCCAGCCGCCGCCGUAACAC
rnacentral:rRNA from 1 species